CCUACGGGAGGCAGCAGUGGGGAAUUUUGGACAAUGGGCGCAAGCCUGAUCCAGCCAUGCCGCGUGGGUGAAGAAGGCCUUCGGGUUGUAAAGCCCUUUCGGCUGGGACGAAAAGGUCUGCGCUAACACCGCGGAUCCAUGACGGUACCAGCAGAAGAAGCACCGGCUAACUACGUGCCAGCAGCCGCGGUAAUACGUAGGGUGCAGGCGUUAAUCGGAAUUACUGGGCGUAAAGCGUGCGCAGGCGGUUUCUUAAGACAGGUGUGAAAUCCCCGGGCUUAACCUGGGAACUACGCUUGUAACUGAGAGGCUAGAGUGUGGCAGAGGGGGGUGGAAUUCCACGUGUAGCAGUGAAAUGCGUAGAGAUGUGGAGGAACACCGAUGGCGAAGGCAGCCCCCUGGGCUAACACUGACGCUCAUGCACGAAAGCGUGGGGAGCAAACAGGAUUAGAUACCCUGGUAGUCCACGCCCUAAACUAUGUCAACUGGUUGUCGGGGAAGCAAUUCCUUGGUAACGAAGCUAACGCGUGAAGUUGACCGCCUGGGGAGUACGGCCCGCAGGUUAAAACUCAAAGGAAUUGACGGGGACCCGCACAAGCGGUGGAUUAUGUGGAUUAAUUCGAUGCCACGC
rnacentral:rRNA from 1 species